UAAGUAAGCGGAGGAUAAGAAACUAAAUAGGAUUCCCUCAGUAAUGGCGAAUGAACAGGGAUAAGCUCAGCAUGGAAAUUGGGGCCCUCGGCCUUGAAUUGUAGUCUUGAGAUGUGUUACCAACGGAGGCGCAGAUGUAAGCCUCUUGGAAAAGAGCGUCAGGGAGGGUGAGAGUCCCGUAUGUCAUCUGCAGUUCUCUGUGCACGGUGCAUGUUCUAAGAGUCACGUUCCUCGGGAUUGGAGCGCAAAUUGGGUGGUAAAUUUCAUCUAAAGCUAAAUAUUGGUUCGAGACCGAUAGCAAACAAGUACCAUGAGGGAAAGGUGAAAAGGACUUUGAAAAGAGAGUUAAAAGUGCUGAAAUUGCUGAAAGGGAAGCGAAUGGAACCAGUUGUUCUUGGUGAGUAUUGGUGUUGUCUAAAGUGAUGGCUUGCCACUUCAACGCAAGUGUGGUGGCAGGUUUUGAUCUGGAUGCGAUACUGCUUCUCGCCUUGCAUGUCAACGUCAGUUCAUAAUUGAGGAAAACUCUAAGGACAUGGUAAUUCGCUUCCGAGUGACUGAAUGUCCUCAGUUGAACUCAUUUUUGAACUGCUCUCUGUGUGUCUGGUAGCACUGCUUCAUGUGCUUGCCUGCGAUCUUCUGCUCUGCAUGAAGGUUGUUGGUGCCAGGAGCAUGUCCUUGACAUUAGAACGAUGACGAAAUGGUUUUAUUCGACCCG
rnacentral:rRNA from 1 species